rnacentral:rRNA from 1 species
CACGGGGGGAGCAAGCGUUGUUCGGAAUCACUGGGCGUAAAGGGUGUCUAGGCGGUCAGGUAAGUGAGAUGUGAAAUGCCCCGGCUUACCCGGGGACCUGCAUCUCAUACUGCCUGGCUUGAGUAUGGGAGAGGAUGAGGGAAUUCCUGGGUGUAGCGGUGAAAUGCGUAGAUAUCAGGAGGAACACCGGUGGCGAAAGCGCUCAUCUGGCCCAAAUACUGACGCUGAAGCCACGAAAGCUAGGGGAGCAAACGGG